UGGGGAAUUUUGGACAAUGGGCGCAAGCCUGAUCCAGCCAUGCCGCGUGCGGGAAGAAGGCCUUCGGGUUGUAAACCGCUUUUGUCAGGGAAGAAAUCCUUUGAGCUAAUACCUCGGGGGGAUGACGGUACCUGAAGAAUAAGCACCGGCUAACUACGUGCCAGCAGCCGCGGUAAUACGUAGGGUGCAAGCGUUAAUCGGAAUUACUGGGCGUAAAGCGUGCGCAGGCGGUUAUGCAAGACAGAUGUGAAAUCCCCGGGCUCAACCUGGGAAUUGCAUUUGAGACUGCACGGCUAGAGUGUGUCAGAGGGGGGUAGAAUUCCACGUGUAGCAGUGAAAUGCGUAGAUAUGUGGAGGAACACCGAUGGCGAAGGCAGCCCCCUGGUCAAGAUUGACGCUCAUGCACGAAAGCGUGGGGAGCAAACA
rnacentral:rRNA from 1 species